GCUUUAUUCGUCGUCUUUGAUACACUCUGAUUAACCAUUGUGGACCUCUAGAGUCUAAUUUGCAAUAUUAAUGCAAGUCUCUUUAACUUACGGAUUAUGAAGAGCAUCCUAAGAUCGUUUAAUUUGAUUCAGGUUUUAUGUGGCUAAUGUUUGGUCUUGGAUGUGAAUUAGUCUAUCAUGUUUCUUGGAAGGUAGGAAGCAAUCUUGAUGUUUACCAAAAUCCAAUGUGCUCUUUUGUAGCUCAGUUUUGAAAUAUGUACUAAUUAUUGUAGAGGGAACCCGAAACAAAGAGACCAUAUGUAUGAUUUUAUAUGCGAAGAGAAGCUCCGAAUUUGAAAUCGUCUCCACUCCGGUGAUAUGUGGCCAUGGUGUGAAGGAGUCUGGAGCCAUGGUUAUUUCAGAUUCGGACAUAACCGUAAUUGUUAAACUAAUAAAAAUAAGAUCAAACGUACCAGAUUGAUGAGAAUUUUUGGUGUUCUUCGUCAUGUUCUUCGUCGUAUGGAUCUAACAAAAAAAAAAAUAUAUAUAUAUACCCCAGAAUUUUUUUUUGUUUGUUAAUAGAGAGAACCCACCAAUUUUGUAGCGUUGAUUGUGACAUCGAAUUGUUUGUCGGAUGAAUAUAAGUCUAUAAUCCGGAGACUGAAGUUGAACCCUAACAAAAACAUAUAUUCAUAGCAUAAAAUUCAUAAAUUAAAGGUAGAGCAUCACAUAGCUUUUUCUUCAAAGCCAACACAUCUCUCUUUGUAGCCGAAUUACUCUCCAGUUUGGUAUAUACUCAAAUUUUCCAAUGACUUCCUUCUCGAACCUGGAGCGUUUUUGCUUUGCCGGAUAUUUUUAGGAUAUGGCUCUUAUGUAUCUCUUGUGAGUCACUUGAUAUGUUGUUUAGGUAAAACUUUUGGUUUGAAAGAGAAUGAUCUACGACAAGCAUAAUCGGUUAUUUGUUAUAUAUGUGGCCAUGUUCAUAUUGCUUUCUCCACAAGCAAUUUUCCAGUUUUGUAGCAUUCGAUAUUUAAAUUUAAAAGCUUCAAUACGUUGUAUACAUGUGUAUGUAUGUACAUAUAUGAAUUAUUCUCAGUUGCACAUAGUGGUUUCUAAGGGAUAGAUACUUGCUCUCUGUAACCCUCUCAUUUUUAGUACCUAUCUUCAGUGUUUACUUUGCUAAGAGCUUCUUGAUAGGCAUACAUCUUUGCAAUCUCAGAUCAAUAUACUACAAAUACAUAUACGAUACAGUUAAGAAAAUGAUAUUUCUCUUACAACUUUUUAUAUGGGUUUUAUAAACAAGAGAUCAACUGAAGGGUUACGCAGCGACCAAUGGCGAAGGUAGAGACAAAGAUACUACAAUAGGGACGAUAAAUAUGACACGAUAUAUACAAAGGAGAUGCAUGUUUCUAUACCAUUGAAAUUUUACGUACAUAACUACUUCAAAGAGCAAGAUGACUUACUUGAUAGGUAAGAGAUAUGGUAAGAGAUUAUAUUUUUCAAUUAUUUGUUUCCAACUACGAAAAACUCCAGUGACAUACAAUCUAAAAGCAUGAAUAUGUCAUAAAAUCAAGAAUACAACAAAAACCAGGAAGAUGGGCCCAAAUUAAAGUCCGAAACUGGACGUGGGGAACCCACGGACAGUGGUGGUCGGAGCGUUACAAAUAUGAAAGAAACGAGGAAGCGUGAAUAUGUCAUAAAACCAAGAGUACUACAAAACCAAGAAGAUGUGCUCAAAGAACAAAACUGGACGUGGGAACCCACAGAUAGUGGCGGUCGUGGCAUUACAAAUAUGAAAGAAACGAGUAAGCAUGAAUAUGUCAUAAAAUCAAGAGUACGACAAAACAAAGAAGAUGGGCCUAAAGACCGAAACUGGACGUGGGGAGCCCACGGACAGUGGCGGUCGGGGCGUUGCUAAUAUGAAAGAAACGAGUAAGCAUGAAUAUGUCAUAAAAUCAAGAGUACGACAAAACAAAGAAGAUGGGCCUAAAGACCGAGACUGGACGUGGGAACCCAUGGACAGUGGCGGUCGGGGCGUUGCUAAUAUAUUGUUGGUUUAAAUAUAUAGAUUUUUUAUAUUUAAUUCUAUUAUAUAUAUCAAGAUAUAAACACUAAUAAUUGUUUGUGAUUCAAAAACACUAUUAAUUGUUGAUUACUAAUAAUAUAUAUCAAAAGUUAUAGCGUUUUACCAUAAUUCUAUAUUAAUGUCGUUAUAAAAAUUAGACUCUUGACAAAAUUAAUUCAAUAAAUAUCCCUAACUUGAUAACCCUAAAUAUUAAUUAUUAAUUCUGGUCUUAAUCAACAUACAACCCCGCGCUGGGCGCGGGGACCUCCCCUAGUAUAUAUGUAUGCAAGAGCGUUUAAAAUUUUACAUCUUUUAGAGAAUAAAUUAGAACAUAAGGGAGUUAAACCCUUCACCUUACCAAACAACACCACAGUUUCCUGAGUUUGUGGUCUUUUCCAUAAAGUGAAGGGUUUGAAUCUCUUAAUUUGUAAUUUAUUCUCUAAAAAGUUGCAUCCAAAACGCAAAUUUUAAGAGAUGUUAAAAUUAUACACACCCUUCGUUUAUUUAUAUCUAACACUUUCAUCAUUCUAGUUAACAUUCCUAUAAUGUUCUAUUAUAUAUUUAGUUAUUUCACUAUUUAUAUAUCAAAUUAUUCAGAGUAGUUAUUGUUAUUUCAUUAAGGGGGGUUUUUGGCUGAGGAUAGUUUAGCAAAAGAUAUGGGAGUUCUAAAGAGCUGGUGAAAUCAGUCGUGGAUGCAUUACAAAGAAAAUCAAACCCCCCAAAAAAGUCUUGAAAACUGUUGGGAUAAGCUUGAAGAAAAAGAAGGAAACUUAAGGAAAAAGGAAAUUCUAAUCCAAUUAGGAAUAGUUCUAUUUAGGAGAUAUCUAAAUAAGUUAGUUUACCUAUUUGGAUUAGGAAAUUGUGUUAGAAUUCUCUCUAUAUAUAGAGCUACCAAGGUAUGGUAAGCCUUAUGAGUUUUGAGAGAGAGCUUGAGAGAUUGUGUUUAAGAGAUUGAGAGAGAGACCAAAGUUUUGAGUUAUUUUCUUUGGUGAUUAAUAAAGAGAGUUAUUCUUUAUUUUUGAGUUCUUAAACAAUCUUUCUAAACUUCAUUUGGUAUCAGAGCGGUGAGAUCCAUUCAGACGUGAGAGAGGAGAAACUACUUAGCAAAGAUGGGUGAUAUCGUUGUAGCCAAACCAAAAGAAGGAGUAGCUUCAUCCGUUAAAUGUCCGAUGUUGAGUAACUCAAACUACACCGUAUGGAGCAUGAGGAUGGAGGCUACUCUACAUGUACACAAAGCUUGGGAAACGAUUGAUCCGGGCUCUGACAAUCAAGAGAAAAACGAUUUAACUCGAGCUCUUCUGUUUCAAUCAAUUCCCGAAUCUCUAAUCUUACAGGUUGGAAAACAAGCAACUGCUAAAGGAGUCUGGGAUGCGAUUAAAGCUAGAAAUCUCGGUGCUGAUAGGGUACGAGAGGCAAGACUGCAGACUCUCAUGGCCGAGUUCGAUAGGUUGAAGAUGAAGGAAGGCGACACCAUCGACGAGUUUGUUGGAAAACUUUCAGAAAUUUCCACAAAAUCUGCAUCGUUGGGUGAAACCAUUGAGGAGACAAAGAUCGUUAAGAAAUUUCUCAAGAGCUUACCACGAAAAAAAUACAUUAGCAUAAUUGCAGCUAUUGAACAAUUUCUCGAUCUUAAAACAACAUUGUUUGAAGAUAUUGUAGGAAGAUUGAAGACCUAUGAAGAAAGAAUUUGUGAUGAAGAAGAGGCAGAAGAAGACCAAAGCAAACUCAUGUACGCUAAUUCUUACUCACAGCCAUCACAAGAAGGAGGAAGAGGCAGAGGUCAAGGUCGUGGUCGCGGAAGAGGUCGAGGAAGAUUCGGAUAUCAAUCUUUGGAUAAAUCCAAGAUUACAUGUUUCAGGUGUGAUAAACAAGGGCAUUACGCAUCCGAAUGUCCAGAUCGUCUACUAAAACUAAUCAAGGCUCAAGAAUCUGAAGAGAAUGAAGGAGAUAACACGCAAGAAGCUGAAUCACUCAUGAUACAUGAGGUGGUUUAUCUCAACGAGAAGAAUGUAAAGCCUAAAGACUUCGAAAAAGAUUCAGAGAACGCUUGGUACUUGGAUAAUGGUGCGAGUAAUCAUAUGACAGGGAAUCGUGCUUGGUUUCCCAAGAUUGAUGAGACUAUCACAGGAAAGGUGAGGUUUGGUGAUGAUUCACGAAUUGAUAUCAAAGGCACAGGUCCAAUCUUGUUUGUAACAAAAGAAGGAGAAAGAAAAAUCUUGGCCAAUGUCUAUUACAUACUUGAGCUUAAAAGUAAUAUCUUAAGUCUGGGGCAAGCAACCGAAGCAGGAUGUGAUGUAAGAAUGAAGAAAGGCUACUUAACUCUACAUGAUCGUGAUGGAAAUCUGUUGGUGAAAGCAAAUCGAUCAAAGAACAGGUUGUACAAAGUGAACAUGGAAGUUGAAACCGAGAAACGUGACGAAUCUAACCGAGAACGAGAUGAAGCAUUGAAGGAGAAGGAGAAUCUAUCAAAGGAUCUUGAGAGUGUAAAUAAAGAAAGCGAGAGUGAAGAGCUUCCUGAACAGAGAAUGGGAGAAAAUUCAAACAGAGAAGAAACAGAGCAGAUCGCAGAAGAGGCGGAUGAAAGUGAAAGUGAAGAACUUCCUGUAAUUGAGGAGGAAGACGAUGAACAUGAGCAAUUUAAGCCUCUGUUACAACGACAGAUGGACCAACGAAAUUAUAUUGAAGUUCCUCAGUUGGAAUCUGCUAUCAGUAAUUUGCGAUUAGAGGUUGCGGAGAAGACUUCAAUUGUGAAUGCUUUAGAAAGGGGUGUGAGUGAGAAAGAGAAGAUGAUUUCUGAACUUGAAAAAGGUAAUUUAGAGAAGGUGAGUGUACUGGAAGGUGAUGUUGGUGGAGCUGUUGAACAAGACUACACAACUCAGUUGUAUGUGCUAAAAGAAGAACUUGAAGAGUGGCAAAACAAAGCAAAAGAAUUGGAGAAACGAUUGGAAGAAGCUAACAAGCUGGAGAGAUCUGCCUCGGCAUCUCUGUUAUUUAUGACAAAGCAGCUGGAAGGAAGCAAUGGUAGAUUGCUCGAUAUGGAAUCUGAGAUUACUGAUCUUAAGGAUAAAAUCUCGUUAUUGGAGAUGACUGUUUCUAAAGAAAAGAAGGAUCGUGAGGAAUCUGAACAGCAGCUAGGUAUUGCAGAAGAAGAAUUCUCUAAAAUUGAGAAAGAGAUAGGGAAACUGAAGAAUGAACUUGAAAAUGUGAAUGAAGAAAAGAAUCAGUCUUUAAGAAAGGAGCGAGAUGCUACUUCAAAGACACUUGGAAGGAUUAAGAUUAAAGAAAUGAGAGAUCUUAUUGGAGUUGAAGAUGUGAGUGGAGGUGACUUCAAGUUUAAGGGGGAGAAUGUUGGGAUAAGCUUGAAGAAGAAGAAGGAAACUUAAGGAAAAAGGAAAUUCUAAUCCAAUUAGGAAUAGUUCUAUUUAGGAGAUAUCUAAAUAAGUUAGUUUACCUAUUUGGAUUAGGAAAUUGUGUUAGAAUUCUCUCUAUAUAUAGAGCUACCAAGGUAUGGUAAGCCUUAUGAGUUUUGAGAGAGGGCUUGAGAGAUUGUGUUUAAGAGAUUGAGAGAGACCAAAGUUUUGAGUUAUUUUCUUUGGUGAUUAAUAAAGAGAGUUAUUCUUUAUUUUUGAGUUCUUAAACAAUCUUUCUAAACUUUAAAAACCUCACUGAAGCGGCUCAACAAGUGGGGUAUUGUCACUACGAAUACCAAACCAGUUGGGGCAACGUAAGUACCUUCUCAAUUUAAUCAUUUAAUUCUAAAAUCAAACAUUUUACGAAAUAUUAACAUUUCAUUUUCAAGAUUUAAGUCCACCUGCGUUUGUUGGAUCCACCUGCGUUUGUUGGAUCUACGCCGUCAUUAGGACUAGAGGCUAUAUUCCAGCAGCGGCGAUGGUCGACCGGAGAAAUUGAAGUCCUUUUUAACAAACAAAGUCCGUUGAUUGGAAUGUUCCGCCGAAAAAUAAAAUUCCGUCAACGAUUAGCUUAUUUUUGGGCACUCAUGUGUAUAAGGUCAAUCCCUGAGCUCGUUUAUUGUCUCUUGCCUGCUUAUUCCCUACUCCACAACUCUGCCUUAUUUCCCAAGGUAUCUUUCUCUCUCUGAAUUUAGUUCAAUUUACUUUCAUAGAAUUAAUUAAUUAAACAUAUUUUUUAAUGUUUUCUUAUAUCUUUUGUGUGUGGAAUUAGGGACCUUGUCUAGGCAUAAUAGUCACACUUUUGGGGAUGCAUUGUCUCUACAGUCUAUGGCAAUUCAUGAGCCUUGGUUUUUCGGUAAAAUCGUGGUAUGUCGCUCAAUCAAUUUGGAGGAUAAUAGCCACUGGCAGUUGGUUAUAUAGUAUCCAAGAUAUCAUACUGUAGCUUCUUGGAAUCUCGAAAAUCGGGUUCAUAGUCGCUAAAAAGACUAUGCCUGAUAAACCAACUAAAGGAGAAGAUGAUGGUCCAAAAUCAGACUUGCGUAAUUUUGAAUUUGAUAGCUCGCAUCAUUUCAUUCCCGGCACAUUUAUUUUGUUCGUGAAUCUAGCCGCUCUAGCUAUUUUUUUUGUGGGUCAACAACGGUCGAGUUGUAGUCACGAAGGAGGUGGUUCGGGUUUGGCAGAGGCUUGUGGAUGUAUUUUGGUGGUUAUGUUGUUCUUUCCAUUUCUAAAGGGUUUGUUUGAGCAUGGAAAAUAUGGCAUCCCAUUGUGUACUCUCUCUAAAGCUGCCUUUUUGACAGUUUUAUUUGUUGUUUUCUCUUUGGGAAAAUAGUAUAUAGCGAUAGGCCGACCCUGGGCUAAGGUUUGUUCAUUUUCCAUUGGUAGGUUCUUUCCUUAUCCCAAAAGCAACCCGUGGUCUAUACAAUAAGGUGUGUUUGUUGUUUCUUUAUUUCUUUGGAUCUUUUCACGUGAUUUUCAGAUUUAUUUAAAUCUUUUUUCAAUCCUAGUCCUUGUUUCACUAAUUUUAAGAUUGUUCUUUCCUCUCAUUGUACAUGUUAUAUGUUCCUUGUCAAGUUUAUGUUUCUUUUUAUUCACUCUUGGUGUGUCUUUUUAUUUUGUUUCUUAACAGCCUUUUUAACUAGUAAUUACUUUUUUAUUUUAAACUUUUAACAAAAAUUCUUAGGAUAAAUGAAAAAAUGUACAAUUUUGUAAUGAAAAGAUGGUCAAAAGAUGGGCCCGCACAUUCAAAAUCUCUUUAAAAGUGUAAAAAUUUGUACUCCCAUGAUGUCGAUUGUCAUUACAAAUAUUCUCUUGCGAAAUUUUAUGUUGUAAUAAAAAAAACAUUCUAAAGAAUUGGAUGGUCAGCGCUCAUAUGUACUCAUGGAUUGCUCAUGCUUGCUGAAUUCAUGGCUUCCAGACGUGGUUGGUUCAUCGGUUGAGCCUAGCGAUGGUGUUGAUGACUUGAACCACCAAGGUUUGGUAAAUAUUUGUAUUUAUCAAAUUCUGUAAGUAGUUCAUUCAACAUCCUUUGAGUGACAUCCUCAUGGAGUGUCUGAAUGUCCUGCUCAACUAUGUUGCAAUCAUACCGUAGACAUCCUCAUCCAUGCACAUAUAUGGAUCAUCAUUUUUAGGAUUAGGUUUCUCGAUCGCAUGGUCUUGAUUGUUCGACAUAGAAACUUUGUUCCUUGGGAAUCAGAAAAAGCUUUAAUCUCCACAUAUGACACUAAAGUUUAUGUCAAAAUUCAGUGCGGUGACUUUGAUAAUCGUGAAAAAAAUCGGGGUCAAAGUUUGGUAAUCGUAAUUUCACUUCGUCGAGCUGAGCAGCAAAUUUUCAAAAUAAGAAAAAAAUAACUCGAUGAUUGUUUUUCUGGAACUUUACAACCUUAGCGUGGUAGCUAUCGCUAAUGAGGAUAAAGAUUUUACUUGAGAUAGAGAAGAACAUGUACCGGACAUUGGAAUUGUUACCCAGCUCCCUUGUCUUCUGCGUUUCCGCAUGUUUUACUGUAGUUGGUUUGUCUUGAAAUAUACGUACCCAAAAUUUACCACCACGUCAUGCGUUCUGUGUCAUUGUUCGUCGCCGUUGGGAAGUGUUGUCUUGACGGUAUCCUUUAAAAAUACAUAUUUUUAAUAUAGUAAAUUAUUUUAAAAAAUGAAUAAAAAAUGAGAGAAUAUGCACAAAAUAGCCAAAUUUUUGAAGAUAAUAAACAAAGUAGUCAUAUGCUACAGUAACUUGUCGGUUACAUGUCGGAGAGCACAUGCCAUUUAUAACAUGUUUUUUUCUCGAAGUACAUGUGAUAGAAUAAUACAUCUCUUUUUAUCGUGUUAUUUUCUGUAUUACACGUUAUUUAUAAAGAGUACAUGGUAUUUCUUGAAAAAAACAUUCUAUUCUGUUUAAUAUCUCUCUUUAUCACGUUAUUUUGUAGUAAUACACGUUUUUUUAUUAAGAUCACAUGUGAUAUCUUAAAAAAAAAAUUCUUAUUUUUUAGUAAUACACGGUUUUUAUUAAGAUCACAUUUUAUUUCCUUAAAAAAGAGAUUCUAUUCAAGUUAAAUUUUUUCAUAACAAUGUUUUUUCUUAAAAAACAAUACGUAGCAAUGUUUUUUCUUAAAAAUUCACAACGUUUUUUGAAGUAUCAUGUCUUUUUGUUAAAUAUAACAUGUGAAAUUUAGAUUUUACGUGUUAUUUUGAAAAAUAUCACAAAACUAUCUCGCCUACUGUUGAUCUCGAACCAAACGAAGGAUGGUUUUGUUAUUUCACAUCCUCUGACAACGUGGGUCCAUGGCUAUUUUGCAACAUAAACUUUUCUCUCUGCUAGUUUCCUAAUUUAUGUGUUUUAUUUGGCUAUUCCUUAAUAUUACCCUAUAAACAAUUUGUAGAAUGACAACUAACAUUAGUAAUCAUGAUACUAGUAUAUCUAAAAUUUUCAAUUGUAAAGUCUUGCUAAUUUGAGCAACUAAAUUAACUCAAACCUAGAUUUAAGUAAAAAUAACUAAAGUUUUAAAUAUAACAAACCAUAUAUACCCUAAUCACCUAGUUAUUCAAAUUACAAAAGCUAACUAGUCUAUCCAUCUAAAAAAUUCUCUAAUUUUAAUGAAAACCUAACUAAUCUAACCACCUAAUCUUAGAUCUACCUAACUAAAUUAACGAUGUUUAAUUGUGUUUUCAAUGAAGUUUUUAUUACUAAUCUUUUUUAUCCCUGUUAUUACAUCUUAUUCAUAUAGAGAUAUAAAUUGUUAUAGUGUAUUCUCAAAUGGCAUAAAUUUUUUUUUCACAUUUUUCUUAAUUUAUGUGAAAAGUGGUAGAACGACACUAUGACACAGAGGGAGUAAAUCAAAAUAAUUUAGAAAUUUUGCAGGUUUUUGUUUUAAUUCUCAAAAAUAUCGAUUAUAUUACAUGAUUAUAACCCUACGAGACUCUAUAACAUGUAUUAUACACAAUUAAGUUAAUAUUUUCUAUCUUCCUUUUCAGUUUAUUAUAUUAUUUAUUUUUUCAACAUAUUAUUAAAUAUUUAAAGGGAAUGAGAUACUGUUUACAUUUUUAAGAAGUUAAAACAAAUAUUGAGUAAUAUUUUACUUAGUUUUUUUUUUUGGUGAGUGAGACGGAGGCAAUGCCUCCCCCGAUUUAUUCAAACGAAAAAAUAAAAUUACAAACGAACUAAACGCGGGAAUUCUUUCCCAUGAGAAUCGUCUAAUAUAAUCUCAUGGACCACAUCAGGACAAAAAUCAAGAGAAAGAAAACCGAAAUCCAAAGAGAACGCAUAGUUUGCUAAUCCAUCCGCAAGGCGAAUAUUUUACUUAGUUGAAGAAGUUUUUAAAACAUAUAUUAUUUUUUAAAAAGUCGGUAAAAAUGUAGCCCAACCUAGUUCAAUUCACAUUCUAUAUAAAAACUUGGUCAGCACUCUAUACACAUUAUAUACACACGCAUUCAUAUCCAAAAACCGCAAGAAAAGCUCCUCCAAUGGCAGAUUCAAGCUCUUCUCUCCUACCUCUUUGCGAAAGGAUCUCACACAAAAGCUACUUUUUAAGAAUUGUGGAUCUAACGAUUCUCGGUCUUCUCUUUUCUCUUCUCUUGUACCGAAUCAUGCAUAUGAGCGAAAACGACAACAUCUGGCUCGUGGCUUUUCUCUGUGAAUCUUGUUUCUCAUUCAUAUGGUUGAUUAUUACCUGCAUAAAAUGGAGUCCUGCUGAAGAUAAACCCUAUCCAAAUAGACUUGAUGAAAGGUAGCAUUUUGGCAUUUUCAUUUACACAUAUUAAAAAAAUACACUAAAACCUCUAGAAAUUAAUAUUAUUUGAACAAUGAUCCAUAUAAUUUUAUCUCAGAUACGAUCAAUGAUUUAGAUCCUUUAGAUUUUACAGUCUCGUCUAAGACAAUUAAUGUUAGAAAUAAAAUAAAUUUUAAUGGAGUAAGGAUUUCAAGAAUUCCUAAUAUACAUGAAAAUCAUGAUAAAUUUGUAUAAACCCCUAACUAGCUUCUAUCUAGCUCUUAGUUUAUUUCUUAAGAAAUAUUAUUCAUUUCUUUUUUUUUUUACUUGCUGCAAAUUUUUAAUUUCAGGGUUCAUGACUUUCCUUCAGUAGAUAUGUUCGUGCCCACGGCAGAUCCGGUUAGGGAGCCGCCGAUUAUUGUUGUGAACACUGUGCUUUCGCUGUUAGCUGUGAAUUAUCCAACGAAUAAACUAGCGUGUUAUGUGUCGGACGAUGGAUGUUCUCCUCUCACUUACUUCUCUCUCACGGAAGCUUCUAAGUUCGCUAAAAUUUGGGUUCCCUUCUGCAAGAAAUACAACGUUAGAGUUAGAGCUCCUUUUAGAUAUUUCUUAAACCCUUUGGUUGCAACAGAUGAUUCAGUAUUCAGCAAAGAUUGGAAAAUGACGAAGGUAAUGAGUUUGAUUAUUUAGUUGACGUUUGAAUUUGUUUUCAAAAACCAAAGCUAAUGUCUUGUUUAUUGAAAACAAUUUCAAACUGACAUGUUCUACCUGUCCGAGGCGACUGGAACUAUCCUUUUCGAGUGAACGACCUGAAAACAUCAUAACUGGUGACUCGGUUUUGGAUCUCAAAAACAGUGUUCACAAAAUUUGAGUCACCAUCCUGAUAAUUUUUUUUUCAUUUUUUUCAUAUGUUUCUAUUUCCAGUUUUUAUAGAGAACAAAAAGUAUAUUUUGCUUUUCAUUUUCAUCUCUUUGUUUUUUUCAGAUUUUUAAGUUCAAAAAUAGAAUUAAAAGUCAGUAGCUCAUUUUUAAUAUUUAAAUAAUAUGUAUAUGACGUUUUUUCAUGUUAUAUAUUGAUUUUUUUUUAAUUAUUAUGCUUUUUUGUAUCAAUAUGAAGAGGGAGUAUGAGAAAUUAUGCCGGAAAAUUGAAGAUGCCACCGGAGAUUCGCAUUGGUUAGAUGCAGACGGAGAUUUUGAAGCUUUCUCAAACACAAAGCCAAAUGAUCAUUCAACUAUUGUUAAGGUAUUAUUAUAUUGAAAAAUUUAUCGUUAGGGUAUUUUUUUACAAUUUUCCAAAGUUAUGCACAUAUCAAAAGGUUUGAUUGUAACAAUUGUAUGAAAUCUUGUUUAAUAUAAUGUUUGUAAAUUGUAAUGUAUGUCAAGGUGGUAUGGGAGAACAAGGGAGGUGUGGGAGACGAUAAAGAAGUCCCUCAUCUUGUAUACAUUUCAAGAGAGAAAAGACCAAAUUAUCUUCAUCAUUACAAAACUGGAGCCAUGAACUUUCUGGUUAAUGAUUUUUCUCACACAUCACUCUUUUUUUUUUAAGAGUUUCAAAGUAAGUACAUAUAUAAGUUGUGUUCGGCCUGUCACCACUACAAUAUUGGUUGAGAUAUAGAUUAGUUUUCAUCAAGCAUACGUUUGAUUACUAUGACUUAGAGUCUCCUAUCUUUUUAAUCCAGCAAUGAAAUAUUUGAAAUUAGUAUAUAUGAGUUUCGUUAAAAUAUGAUGAUUACAAAAGAAAUGAUGAGCUUUGAUAUAUAGAGAAAUUCAUACGUAUAGAAAGAACUACUAUAUUUUUGCACAAAACUACUAUACAUAUGUUUGAAUUGAUAUCCAUAUUUAUGUCUUUAAAACUUAAAAGUACCAAUGAUUGUAGAUCUUUUUUUGUUAUCAAAAUAAAAUUGUGAUGAGCCUAAGGCCCUAACAUGAAUUUGAACAGUUAAGAGUGUCAGGGUUGAUGACAAAUGCACCAUACAUGUUGAACGUAGACUGUGACAUGUAUGCCAAUGAACCAGAUGUGGUGCGACAAGCAAUGUGUGUAUUUUUAGAAAACUCAAAGAAUUCAAACCAUUGUGCUUUUGUUCAAUUCCCUCAAGAGUUCUAUGAUUCUUACACCAACGAAUUCGCGGUCCUACAAUCAGUGGGAUUUCUCCUCCUUUUACAUUUUUACGUAUAAUUUUGAUCAAUUCAAUGUUAUUUAUUGACCAAUACUUGCUCUCUUUGUUUUCUUUGUUUUCUUUGUUUUCGAAUUUAGUAUUUGGGACGAGGAGUUGCGGGAAUCCAAGGACCGAUAUAUUGUGGCUCAGGAUGCUUCCACACUAGAAGAGUUAUGUACGGUUUAUCUUCAGAUGAUUUAGAAGACAACGGAAGUCUUUCUUCGGUGGCUACAUGUAAGUAGUUUUAAAAAUUUACACACCUUAUUAUAUUACACUCUAAUAUUUUCAUUAUUCUAAUUGACAUUCCUACAUAUGUUCUAUCAUUCAUCUAACAUACAAUUCAUCAUAAUUUUAGUUAUUUAACUGUUCAUAUAUAAAAUCAUUCACGAUUGUUAUUGUUAUUUCAUUAAGGGGAGUUUUUGGAUGAGGAUAGUUUAGUGAGAAAAUAUGGGAGUUCUAAAGAGAUGGUGAAAUCGGUGGUGGGUGCAUUACAAUUAAAAUCAUAUCCCCAAAAAAGCCUUACAUACUUCAUCGAAGCGGCUCAAGAAGUAGGGCAUUGUCACUAUGAGUAUCAAACAAGUUGGGGCAACGUAAUUACAAAAUCAAACAUUUUACAAAAUAUUAACGUGUAAUUUUCAAGAAUCUAUUAACCAUUACCCAUAGUAAUGUGUUUUUUUCGAUAUAAAUUGUGCAGCUCGGUUGGUUAUAUGAUUCAGUGGCAGAAGAUAUAAACACCAGUAUUGGAAUCCAUUUGAGAGGAUGGACUAGCUCGUUCGUUUCUCCGGAUCCACCUGCGUUUCUUGGAUCUACACCGUCGGUAGGACUAGAGGCGAUAGUCCAGCAGCGGCGCUGGGCGACGGGAGCGAUCGAAGUCCUUUUUAACAAACAAAGUCCGUUGAUAGGAAUGUUCCGCGGAAAAAUAAAAUUCCGACAAAGAUUAGCUUAUUUUUGGGUUCUCAUUUGUUUAAGUUCAAUCCCUGAGCUAAUUUAUUUUCUCUUGCCUGCUUAUUGCCUACUCCACAACUCUGCCUUAUUUCCCAAGGUGUCUUUCUCUCUCUAAAUAUAGUUUAGUUAAUUUCAUUGAAUUAAUUAAGGACCUUGAAUUAAUUAGAAGAAAAAGUUUCAUAUUUUCUUAUAUAUUUUGUGUGUGGAUUUAGGGACCUUGUCUAUGCCUAACAGCUACACUUGUGGGGAUGCAUUGUCUCUACAGUCUAUGGCAAUUCAUGAACCUUGGUUUUUCGGUACAAUCGUGGUAUGUCGCUCAAUCAAUUUGGAGAAUAAUAGCCACUAGCAGUUGGUUAUUUAGCAUCCAAGAUAUCAUACUCAAGCUUCUUAGAAUCUCGAAAAUCGGGUUCGUAAUCGCUAAAAAAACUAUGCCCGAGACCAGGUCAGUAUAUGAGUCAUCUCAAGGAGAAGAUGAUGUUCCAAAAUCAGACUUAGGUAAAUUUGAAUUUGAUAGCUCGUGUCAUUUCAUUCCCGGCACAUUUAUUAUGUUGGUGAAUCUAGCCGCUCUAGCUGGAUUUUUGGUUCGUCUACAACGGUCAAGUUGUAGUCAUGGAGGAGGUGGUUCGGGCUUGGCAGAGGCUUGUGGAUGUAUCUUGGUGAUUAUGUUGUUCCAUCCAUUUCUAAAGGGUUUGUUCGAGCAUGGAAAAUAUGGCAUCCCAUUGUCUACUCUUUCUAAAGCUGCCUUUUUAACCGUUUUAUUUGUUGUUUUCUCUCUGGGAAUAUAGCAACAUGGCUGGUCCUUGCUAAAGUCCAAGAAGCACCUGUUCUAGAACAAACCAAUACUUCCUCUAUGUUAUAAUAAGUGAAUGUUAUAAGACGAAAAAAAAAAAAUUUAUUUUAUUUGAUAUUUUUAACUUGCAAAACAAUAUUUAUUACUUUUUAUUUGUUUUCACCAUUUGUAAUAUUUAGUUUGUUUUCUUAUUGGUUAAAUAGUUUUUAAUUAUAUAAAAAUAAUGUUUUAAAGUAGGAAAACCAAAAAAAGGAUUUUUUAAGUGUGUCAAAAACUUACACAUACCUUAUAUUUAACUAGAAGACUAUACAAACUUUUACACCACAAGAAUGCGCAAUCCAAUCAUGCUUAUGUUCUUGAUAUCUACCUGCAAUUCCGGUUUUGGUAAGAACAAAGUUUGACGAAUUUUCCUAAUCUACUAUACAUUUUUGCAACACUUUUUGGGGUUCCUAAUCGGGUCAAAUUUUGUUUAAUUUUGACCCAGAAAUCUUCAAUCGGAUAUUUCCUUAUUUUUGACAAAAUUAAAAAACAAAAAUUAAUCAAUAAAAUCUAAAAAAUAUAUAUUUUCUCAACUAAUUACUAUACCUAAACUCUUUAUUUAUGGCAUAUUCUCUACAAUUUUUAUAGAUAUAGAAAUCAAAUAUGAUUAUUUAAUGCUAAUAUAACAAAUUUGAACUAAUUUCCUAAAACCUCUCUACCUAAUUAAAACAUAAAUAUAUGAUUCUCAUUUCACUUUUAUAUGAUCUUAUAUUUAUAUUAUUUUGAACUAUUAUAAAAUAUAUAUACUUAAUAAAAAAAUUCGAUUUUUUUCUGCAUAUGCUAUGAUUCAAAUUUUUUAAAACGGACAUAUUACUCAAUCGAUGAAGAAAAAAAUAUGUGUACAAUCUAUAUUAACAUUUUUGAAAAACAAAUUUGCGCGUUUAAUCAGGUCGUAUUUUUUUUUUUACUCUGACCCGGAAUUGAGUCAUUCAGAUAUUUUCUUAAUUUCUACAAUUAUCUAAAACGGGACAAUAUACCACGGUGAAAUCUUAAAAUUAACAAAUCGAAAUACAAUUAUUUAGUAUUUUAAUAUACAUUUUAAAAAUAUUUUUACGGGUUGGUCUAAAAACACACACUAAUUUGAAAAAUAUAUAUAUAUAUAUAUAUAUAUAUAUAUAUAUAUAUAUAUAUAUUAUAGAAACUAUUUGAAAGCAAACUUUUAAAUGGACUCGAAUUAUAUGUCUUUUAAAUAAAAGUGUUAUUAAAAAAAAUAACAAAAUGAUGUUUAAUUUUACGGGACAUGAUUAUAUGAUGGGACGGGUCGGAUUUGGAUUGAUAUUAAUACGGGAUAAUAUAUCACGGAUGAAAUCCUGGGAUUAACAAAUCAAAAUACAAUUAUACAAUUUUGAACACAAAACAAAACAAAUACAACUUAAAAUUUUCAUUUUUAGUUACAAUGCAUGUGACUCGCAAUGUACAACAAAAAAUAUUAUAUACAACAAAUUCAUCAGUUUAUAAAAAGACAAAAAAAAUCAAAUAAUUAACCCGCGGUGUACCGCGGGUAACAAUCUAGUAGUCUAUAUGAAUGCACAAUGGCUAGCCAUGUAUUAUUUUUAUCAAUUUGCCUUAAUCUCACUACAAGAAAUAUGAGCAUUGAUAGCACAUUAUAAUAGCUCAUUUUCUGUAACUGUUAUUAAAGAUGAAAUAUUGAAUGAGGUUAUCAUAUGAUAGCAUUUAAAAAAUGCUAACCACGAAAAUGAGUAAGCGGGAAACUAAAUUUCAGCGGACAAACCUAAAAUCACUAUCUGUUGGAGAGUAGAAUAGCCAGCCAUAUGAGUUUGGUUCUUAAAAUCAAAACAAUUGAAACUGAUUCUCUCAAUCCAAUUUAAGCAACAUUCUCUAUCACGUCUUGAAUAAACUUUUGCAAAGCAGUCUUCGAAGAUCCACCGUCCAUUAACGCCACAUGACACAUCUCAGCCAUUUCCUUCACUCUAUUCCUUACAUCACUAUCCUGCUCCAUCACACGUCUGAUAGCUCUCUCUAUAUCCUCGGCCGUAACUGUCUCCAUCUCUCCGGCGAACAAAUCUCCUUUUAAGUACUUACGUAUCUCCACGGCCAAUCCCAGCUCCUCCACCAUCUCAAACGCGUUUAUCUUCUGCUCGGCGUAGAGCGGCCAUGUCACCAUCGGAACACCGAACCACAAGCUUUCAAGCAUUGAGUUCCACCCACAAUGAGUGACAAAUCCUCCUAUCGCCGGUUUUGCUAGCACUGCCACUUGUGGUGCCCAUCCCACCACCUUCCCUCUAUCCAAUGUCCGAUCUAGGAACCCCACCGGGAGAACUUCAUCCAAAUCCGUGAAAUCUCUAGGACGGUCGGUCAUUAUAUUCGGCGAUGCACGACGGAGAGACCAAAGAAACCGAUAACCGCUACGAUCAAGCGCAAUGGCCAUUUCUCUAGCUUGUUCCUCCGUGAAGCCUCCCAAGCUCCCAAAACAGAGAAACACAACAGAUUUAGGGGGUUGCUCAUCGAGCCACUGCAAAAUCUCUGAUUGCUUUUCAUCGUCGUCGAAAUGCAACACUGGUCCUACCGGAUAAGCUUGAGGAAGAUCAACAUUGUUGAACAUUUUCAAAGCGUAAGGUUCAAGCUCAGCAACUGUAUUUACCAAAAUACCUUUCAUCUUCCGUAAAUACCUGGCUUGUGCUAGAAAGAGAAGUAACCACUCCUUUGAAGUGAGGAAAUGAGGAAGACACUUCACUGGAUAAGGACGACUCAGAGACGGAAACUCCAACUCGUUGACUGACUCUUCCAACUCACUGACGUCAUACUUCUUUUGAUCGUACAUUUGUUGAAGGUGAAGCAUGAUUCCUAGAACCGUAGCGUUCGAUGUGUAGAUCAUAUAACACGGAACUCCGAAUUCGUUAGCUACAUCAAUCAUCGAGGAACAAAAUAUAUCCACCACGAAUCCAACGAGCUUUCGUGUUGGAUCAACGAUUCUGGCGACUGCAUCUCUCACUUUUGACUUUUGUUUCUCGAUGUAAACUUGAGCCGGAUCCGUGGGAUCGGAGGUUGGUGGUUCUUUUGAGACGGAGAUGGCUUCGUAACGGAGGCGAUCCGUCGUGAGAGGUGCGAUAGAGGCGGAUGCAUCACCGGCAUCGAAUCUUGAAGGGAUGAUGAUUACGGUGAUCGAAAGACGGUCGUCGCUCUCGAUGAGUUGCUUUGCGAGCUUCACGGCUGGUCGGAGAUGACUAAUUCCCGGCAACGGUAUGAACACGAGCUCGAUCUUCAUUUCUGUUUUUGGGUUUCGACUUUUGGUUGAUUGGUAGAGUCGGAGUUAAUCAAGUAGAAUGUGUAUUAUAUAUUAUACUUAACAACUUGUUUAUUACAUCCCCAAGCUCUUGUCUCCGAAGCACUGAAGUCAAAAAUCUACUUCUAUUAAUUUACUAUUCCCUCCGUUUAACAAAAAAAAAUAUCGUUUUAAGGUUUUUAUCUUGUUUCGGAAAAAAUGUCGUUUUGUAUUUUCAAUACAGUUUUUAAGUCUAAUUCUCUUUUUUAGUCAUACUACAGUAUUUCAGCUUAUUAGUUAGUGAGAAAGUAUUACCUAGUGUAUUAAUAAAAAAAAAAAAAAAUUUGUUUACUUUUUAAAAUUUGUGUAAAAAACGCUAGAAUGACAAUUGAUGGAGUAACACUUUAUAACAGUUCAUUAGACUUCAUUUUCAGCAAUUACAUAGAAAAACUCAACCUACCGAAUUAAAAAUAUUUCGGAAAAGAAACGUUAUACUCUAAAAUAUAUACAAAUAUAUAACAUAGAAAACUUUAAAGGAAUUCCUCUCUCCUCCCAACAUAUUUGGGUUAUGGACAUGUCAUUGAUUGGUAGAGUCGGAAUUUGACGUUGUUUACAUACCGAAGCUCUUGUUAAUGACGCUGUUUACAUACCGAAGCUCUUGUCUCCGAAGCACUGAAGUCAACAGUCUCCUUCUAUUAAUGAACUCGUGUUAAUUUACUUAACACUUCAUAACAGUUCAUUAGACUUCAUUUCCAGCAAUUACUUCAUUAAAAAUGGUACAAAUUGUAUAUAUUAUAUGGCUAAAACUUUAGAAGACAACGGAAGUCUUUCUUUGGUUGCUACAAGUAAACAGAAAUUCAUAAGAGAUUUUCGUAUACUCCUUUACAUCAUUAGUUAUAUAAUAAAACCAACAAUAUUUUAUCGUUUCAUAAUUAUCUUCGUUUAAUUCAUUAAAUGAUUUUGUGCUAAAAGUAUCUUUUUUAUUUUAUUUUGGAGUCUAUGUCUAUCUUCCAAUUAUAAAAUGCAAGAAAACCCUUCAAGCUAUAACAAAACCGCAAUAUAACUCUCCACGCAUAUAUACAAACGUGUAUAAUUUUAACAUCUCACAAAACUACAUCCUUCUGGAUUAAAAAAUGAAGAAUAAAGGGAGUAAUAAAACCCUUCACAACCGCUGACGUAUUAUACCAGUAGAGCUAAAUCGUCUAUUAGUAAGAUCUCAAGCAUAGAAAGUAAAAAACCUCUUAUACUGCAGCUUAAUCUUGCAUAUGUGCUACAUCAAUAUAUUGAUGUUACAUUAACAUUUGCACCAUAACCCAUACAUACCCCUAAAUACUUGGGCUUUUACUACUUUCGGUUAAACCCAUCAGCAGCUGCCAUUUAUUCAAGGUUUUUUCUUGGUCGAAUCAAACUAAAUGGGCCAUCUUGCGUGGCCCAACAAACAACUUGAUUAUUAUCUUUAAAUAUAACUUCGGCUUUACUACUUCUUCUGGCUGAACAGUACACAUCGAUCAAAAGUCCAAAGAAGAAAAAACCAUCAAAUGAAGAAUGAGCUUGUGUUCAUACCGUCGCCAGGAAUCGGUCAUCUCAGGUCAACCGUCGAGCUAGCGAAGCGACUCGUCGGCAGCAAUUACCGCCUUUCGAUCACCGUAAUCAUCAUCCCUUACCCUAGCGACGACGACAGUGAAACCACCUAUAUAGCAUCCCUCACGACCGCGUCCCAAGAUCGUCUCAACUACGAAGCCAUCUCCGUCGCAUAUCAACCAACCGCCGAUCCAGAGCCACUUCAAGUAUACAUCGAGAAACAAAAGCCGCAAGUGAGAGAUGUGGUCGCGAGAAUCUUUGAUUCAACAAGAGUUGACUCGCGACGACUAUCCGGAUUCGUCGUGGACAUGUUCUGUUCCUCGAUGAUCGAUGUAGCUAACGAAUUCGAAGUUCCGUGUUAUAUGGUAUACACAUCAAACGCUACGUUUUUGGGAAUCUCGUUUCACCUUCAACAAAUGUACGACGAGAAGAAGUAUGACGUCAGCGAGUUGGAAGACUCGGUCAACGAGUUGGAGUUUCCAUGUUUGACUCGUCCUUACCCUGUGAAAUGUCUUCCUCAUUUCUUCACUUCAAAGGAUUGGUUACCAUUUUUUCUAGCUCCAGCUAGAUGUUUUCGUAAGAUGAAGGGUAUUUUAGUAAAUACAGUUGCUGAGCUCGAACCUCAAGCUGUGAAAAUGUUUAACAAUGGUGACGAUCUUCCUCAAGUUUAUCCUGUUGGACCAGUGUUGCAUCUCGAAAAAACCUUUGACGACGUUGAAAAACAAUCGGAUAUUUUGCGGUGGCUUGAUGAGCAACCGCCAAAAUCGGUUGUGUUCCUUUGCUUUGGGAGUAUGGGAGGCUUCAAUGAGGAACAAACACGAGAGAUUGCCGUCGCGUUAGAUAGAAAUGGUUACCGGUUUCUCUGGUCCCUCCGCCGGGCAUCGCCAAACUUUUUGACGGAGCGUCCUGGAGAUUAUACGAAUUUAGAGGAGGUUCUACCGGAGGGAUUCCUAGAUCGGACAUUGGAUAGAGGGAAGAUAAUCGGAUGGGCUCCACAAGUGGCGGUGCUAGAAAAGCCGGCGAUAGGAGGGUUUGUUACUCACUGCGGUUGGAACUCGAUGCUAGAGAGCUUGUGGUUCGGUGUUCCGAUGGUGACUUGGCCGCUAUACGCAGAGCAGAAGAUAAACGCCUUCGAGAUGGUGGAGGAGUUGGGAUUGGCGGUUGAGAUAAGGAAGUACUUUAAGAGGAGAUUUGUUGGCCGGAGAGAUGGAGAUAGCCACGGCGGAGGAUAUAGAGAGAGCGAUUGGGCGUGUGAUGGAGCAGGAUAGUGAGGUUAGGAUUAGAGUGAAGGAGAUGGCUGAGAAGUGUCACGUGGCGUUGAUGGACGGUGGAUCUUCACAGGUUGCUUUGCAAACGUUUAUUCAAGACGUGACAGAGAAUCUGGUUUGAUGGUAGGGAGAAAACUAGAAAGGAGAUAGAGAAUCACAUUGACCUAUGAGAUACGAUGACUGUGUAUGUUUAGGUCUGUCAUGUCACAUAACAUUUUAUGAAUUUGUCCCGUAAUACUAUAAUAAGAAAUUUUCAGGUUUAUGAUGAAAAAAAGAUUUUCUCUCAGCUUUUGGCAAACUGAGAUUUGAUUCUCAUGGAUUGACAGUUAAAGUUUUUUAUGACGAAAAUACCCCUAAUGAGUUAAACCAAACGGUACUGUUGAUUUCGGUUUAGUUACUUUUUAUUUGUUUUACGGUUUGGUGUUGAAUUAAAAAAAAACAAUUACGAAGAAACCAAGAAGAAAUCGAAGAUUACGUUACACAGAAGCGUCACUCAAGCAUCGAUUCUCACUUCAGAAGCGGAACCAGAACCGGAAGUGUCCGGAAUCGUUCGGAAUCGCGUUCUUAAAAAGCAGAAUUUGGAAGCGUAGAGGAAGCGAACGUUUCUGAUUUGGAAGCGUAUUUAAAUGUUUUGGAAGCGUCCAAAGAUAUGGCCAAAACACUUGACUAAAUCUUUUUAGUAGGUAGUUUAAUUCUGAGUAAACUCUGUGAUAAUAUGAGAACUGGAGUUUGAAUUAGAAAAUAAACAGUGUUUAUCAGAACGAAAGGCUAUGCGGCGGAGGGCUGCAAGAAGAAACGAAGAAGAAACAGUGCACGUGUCUCAGGCUGAUUGUUAAACAAUUUUAUAUUGACAAUUACAUGUUGAGAUUUCUUGGCUCAUUUGGCAUUAAGUGCCCCAUGUUAUGUCUUGAGCGCCCAGUUCGAUGCCUCUCUAUGAACUUUUUUUUUGCUUUAAUUCUUUUUUUGUGUACACUUUCUUUUAUUUGUCCACGUCCUCUUUUGGUGCCUUCCAAUUCCUACAUGUUUUUUUUCUUGUAUAAAACAAUGUUCUUUCAGUUAUAUAACUGAAAAGUAACUAAUUUUAAUUUUACCCUAAAGUAUUAAUACCUAUAUUUUAAUCUUAAAAUGUUAAUAAAAUUAGUAAAUUAGUUAAAAAUAUUAUCUACCUAGUUUAUUUAUUGUUUUAGAGUUUAAAUUUGGGUGAUAUUGUUACCUAGUUUAUUUAAUGCCUUUUCUAAUUAAUAAAUUAAAAAUAUGUAUUUUAAAUAUAUCUAACAUAUGUAUCUGAGUAUAUUUAGAUGUAUUUUCAUUAAAAUUAGCGUCUUUUCAGAUUUUAAAUUGAUAUUAGAUUCAUUUAAUAUUUUAUUAUUAAAUAAGUUUGAAAUUAUUAAUUAUAAUGUGUCCCAUAUAAAUUUUGUUUCUAAAUCCGCCACUGGCACUAACCGUAUUAUUUGGUAUAACAAACCAAUAUUGAUGGUAUUUUAACGGGAGAAACAAAUAUUUUUUUUAAUAGAUAAAAACAUUUCUUUUUCUCUAUAUAUAUAUAUAUAUAUAUAUAUAUUCAUUUCAUUCUCUAUCUUUUCAUGUUGCUAAAAGACAUUUGAGAAUGUUGAUUUUCUUAAUAGGAUUUUAGAAACAAGUGUCGUGUAUACUUUUUUUGGUGUUUGUAUAUACAUAUCAGAUAUCUUACUAUGUAUUUUUAUUUGAAUAGUUUUAGAUAUUAAUACUUAAAUUUAGAUAUUUAGAAAAUUAAUUUGAGAUUAUUUACAUAUAUACAUAUAUAUAUAUAUAUAUAUGUAUAUUAACGGUUCUAAAACGUACACGACAUCACCGUUUGAAUUGUUCGCAACUUGAUUUGAGGUAUCGCAUUGAACUCUAAAAACCGGCGAAGAGAAACUUAUAGUUUAUCCGGCGAAGAGGAACUCAGAAAUUCCGGCGAGAUAGCAACCAUCGAGAUGUUUGGGAAUAAACCCAACGCCGAUGUCCCGACGAAGCAUUAUACGCGGCAAGGCCCCCAGAAGGAGAAUCGGGAAGUCAGAGUUUUCCCGAGGAAUAAACUAUCUCCGACAAACCCGCCGGAGAAAUUGGGUAAGUUCUGAUAUUAUUUUGUUUGUAGUUUCUUUGGGUGUAUCGGAUUCUUAAAGCUUGUGUAAUUAAAGGGUAAUAACUUGCCGGAAUUUGCAAAAUCAGUAGUUUGAAAAUUUGAGAAGUUCAAUUAGAACUGUUAUUUCCGCCAAAAUUCAUAUUUGAGGAUAUUAUGUUGAUAAUUCCUGUGUACGUACGCGAAUUCAGAUUGUUUACAUGUUUUCCUUACUUAAUUGUUUAUGACAGUACUUGCAGGCAGUACAAGUGUGGCUCCGACUGCAGAUUGUUAUAGUACAAGUCCACACUCCGGCUUGCUGUUGGCAACUGCACGUACGGUCAAUGCUGCAUAGGGUGUUUCUUCUAUUGGUACGUGAGGGAGAUGUGUAUCUUCUAUUAGAUUUGACAUUGCUAUCACGGAUGAAGGAUAAUAUUUUCCUCCUCAUGUGUAUGCUUUGGCUCUACUCUUUAGUUUAUUUCUUCGUAAUCUACUAUACUCUGUUUGUCUUUAUGCAUUGUAUUCCUUUUUUUCGGGCAGUUAUAUUAUGAAUGAAUGAACUUUUUGUUGUUUGCAGACAACAUGUAUGAAAUACGUAUGGUUUUGUGUACGUACACUGGUUUUGUACAUAGCGGAUUAAACUAGUAAGACGUACGACCACUUAGUAUAUUUCAACAAGUAUGAAAGACUUUGUCUCUGGUGUACGUACACUAAAUACGUACAUAGCGUAAGACUAAUAUUACGUACAUAGCCGAUUAAACUAGUAAAACAUACGACCACUUAGUAUAUUCCAACAAGUAUGAAAGACUUUGUCUCUGGUGUACGUACACUAAAUACGUACAUAGCUGAUUAAACUAGUAAAACGUACACAGACAAUAUAUUUUAAUAAUGGCGUAUAACUGUACGUACAAGUAGCAUAUAUUCGUAAGUUUCAGCUGCGGUAACUAGCCGAUGAUCAUUCAGUGACCCACUUGCUGAAGCUCUAAUACCACACUCGAGAACAUCAUCCCAGUGACUUUGUCUAUACCAUUAAUAUUGGUAUCCGUGUACGUAACAAAAUCACUUUCGCAGCAUGUAUCUUGUACACAGUCUCUAGUGUACGUACAUUGUACAAACCAUGUUGACACGUACGUGUUGGAGUCACAAUUGGUGUACUGUCACCCAAAUGAGAAAAGUUAUCUCCGCCAGGUACACGAUAACUUGUGUACGUACACUCUGCCAAUAGACAACUGAAUUCCCCUGGAUGUUGAACCGUUUGUUGAGUGAGAAUGACGUCCUCCUCAACAUUCCCUAUUCCAUAUUCUUCAACAAUUACAUCGUUCCACUUGUUGUAAUCGUAAUCUUCGCCACUGCCUUCACUACCGUCUAUAGUAGGAUCGAGAGUACUUCCCCCCAUAGAUCCAUCAUCACCCUGAUAAUCAUCAUACCCAGCACCAUCUUCGUUGUCCUCCUCUUCUUCAUCCUCAUCUGUUUUAUCGUCUUCAACGUCGUCUUGCUCAUCUACGGCCUCAUUAUUUCCAUCUACAUUUGAAGCCGCUACGAUGAGAUUUGGUGUCGUUGCACUCCCACACACACGGUAACUCUCACCAUCGUCACCAUCGGUCCUAGGGACAAUAUUCCCGAGUGCCUUGACGGUUGUAAUGAAAGAGACAAACAAGGUGACACUAGGAUCCCACCACGAAUCAAAAAGAAGGUAUCCAGGCUCAUUUGAUUGUCAAUAUUGACAGGAGGGCGUUUACUUUCUAUCAUCACUGACAUCUUUCCCGGCAUCCAAUUACUAAUUAUUGGAUUGCAUUCGGUGGACUUCGAACUGAAAACCUCGGAUAAUGUACGUACAAAUUCCGUGUACGUCAUGUUUUCCUUAACACGUACACAACGACCAAACCAGUCUUUCCAUGGUUCAAAUUACCAUUCUUCUUCUUUGCAUCUCCACUCACCCACCAUAGUAAAUACGGGAAUAUCCAUUACACACCUGCAUCAUAAAUUCAGCAGAACCCCAUUAAAUGCAAAUGAAAGCAUGAUUAUAUCUACAAAAAACAAAAAGAAUUCCCAACUACACACUUAUAUACAUAAAUCUAUCCUCAUUUAGCAUUUUCAACUAAAAAAAUUAGAAAUAAAAAUAUUCUGGGUUUUUAUAUAAAAACAAUGUUGAUUUCGAACACAAUCAAGACCCUAGUGUGUUAUAACAAAAAACUUCUUAACCAAUUUCAUUACUUACACGAUCAAUGCUUGUCUUGGCUCCAAGCUUUGUAAAUCAAGAAGAUCAAAACUUCUCCAGCAUCACAUUCGUUCAGACUAAUUUGUUUGUUUGAUGGAUCAUGUUUAUCUCUUACAACUAUUCACACAUAUAAACUAAUAUUAGAAAAAGUAAUGAUGCCUUUUGCAUUAAUUGUGACAUGAGUCAUGUCUAAACUUUUUGGGCAUUAAAUACUGAUGUCUCAUUGUUUUUUAAUGUUAUUAAUCCCUAUUUUACUGUGCAGCCGCAGAAAUUAAAACGAAAAUAUAUUGCCUAACCGGAACAGUGUACGUAACUAAACCGCAUAACUAAACCGUACAGUGAACAGUACAUCGUUACGCUGGCAGGGGUAAAAUGGUCAGAAUUUGGCUAAAGUGUCAAAAUUUGAGAACUAAUUCUCACUUUACCAAACCAUGAAAAUAAAAGUUGGUCUUCUGCCCUGCCAUGCAAUUUACCCAUAAUAAUAGGUGGAUGUGUGUUUUUCUUGGGGUCAAACUAUGUGUGUAUGUGGAAUGUCAGAAUGUGUAUGGGUAUGUGUAAGGUAUUUUAAUUGAUGUUAAGUACUGUAUGUCGUGUUUCUCGAAUUUGUGCUAUAAAGUGAUAAUUAGUAUGAUGGUAAACAGUUCAAAUAUCUUUUUUUUUUUGCAUAUAACACAUGUAACAGAAAGAACAUUUUUUUUGGUAACACAAAAAAAAUGUGAUAAUAAACAUAUUAUCCAUAGAAUUUAUUAACAAUGGUGGAAACCAUAACAAAUACUAAAAAUAUAAAACAUGUUUUCUUUUUAGAACAGAAGUUUGUCAUCCCUCCACACAUAAACUAGAAGGUCCGUCUCAAUAUAUAGCGGAGCCUCUGAGAACACCGAAAACAAAAAAAAAAAUCUAAAGCCUUGACACCAGAAGUUUUCCCCAAAUCGAAUUGGAGAAAAAUUAGAAAUUAGGGUUCUUCUUUGGCAUUGAGGGAUUGUAGAUGCAGAUUUCCAACGAUUUGGGCUUUAAAACAGAAAUCAAAAACCUCUUGCUCAGAAAGAAGGUUUCAAUUCGGGUUAUAAGAUUCAAUUCGGGUUAUGGUUUUUAAACUCGAUUUAGUAUAAUCGCGGUACAGUAAUCGCGAUAUUAUGAUUUUUAAACGCAAUUAAAUGGAUUGAUUGAAUUUGUUGAAAUAGGUAGAAAUUAGAAGAUUAGGUCGAAUUGGGAAGACUUUAAUUAGUAUAGGGUGAAUUGGGUAGAGGACAAUAGUACAGGGUGAUUCUAGUUGAGCGACUAUAGUAUAGGAUGCCACCUACAGGCAGCCCUUAUUAAUAGGGACGACUGGCGCAGAGACAAAAAUAGAAUAGUAUAUUAGUGAAAAGACAAUAGUUCAAGACAAGGGAUAAAUUACAUUAUAAUUGGGUCUUAAGUUCGAAAAAAUUACACAAAAACCAGUCUAUGAUUUUGUCAUGCGUAAAAUAACAAAGUUGACUUUUUCGGCAAAAACAUUUAAUUCUGAUAUAUAUUUAAUGCAAGUGGGUAUUUAAUGACAAUAAGACUAUUAUUAACCGUUGUUUUCUCAAAUUGGACAAGUUUUAGCACAUUACAAACAUACAUUACACGUCUUUAACAUUUGUACACAUGUUUACACAUAUAUAGAGCGUUAAAAAUAGUGAUAGUGUUAAGUUAUUCGAUCUAUAUAUGCAUAUAAAUAUAUAUAUAGAGCGCUAUUAACAUUGACAUACAUGUAACAUGUACAUAGAGGGUAAAUUUAUUUAUAUGCAGAGAAACACAUACAUAAAACAUUAUUAAUAUUUAUAUACAUGUAAACAUGUAUAUAGAGUGUUAUUUAGAGACCGAAAUAUCAUUGAAAUCAUAUGUUUCAUCGGAUUUUUAAAAGAUUUCCGUCUGUUUUCACAGAAUUGUCACCGAAAUUUUCACCAGAUUCCAUCUAAUUGUCACCGGAUCUUCAUCAAAUUCUGUCAAGUCAUAACUGCAUCUUAGGUGUGAUUCAUCAUCCUAGUACUAUUGAUUAGAUUCCAUCAUCGCUAGCGGGUUUUCGCCAUUGAACCAAAAUCGUCGAACCAUCAAAUAUAAUCACAAUUUUUUCGUCUAUAGCAAAUCGGUUACCAUAGACGAGAAGUAAUAAGAAGCGUGAUAAAUCUUGAAUAAAUGAAAAUUAACUACGAUAAAUUCCAAAACUUAAUCACGUUUAAUAAUUCAAAAAGAUAAGAGAGAAAGAAGAGAGCAAGAAUCUUUUUUUAUCAAAAAAUAGAUCACUAUUAACAUAAAUAGACAACUAAAAGUCAAGAAACGAUCAAAAUCAUCCGUUUGUCUCAUGUAAUAGAUCGAGUAUAAAACAAAAUAGGGAGGGGGCGCGUAAAGUUAUAUUUGGCAAAAAAGGUGGCUAAAAUUUUCAUUGUUAUGGAUUUUGUUAAAAAACUAAUUUCUCUCUCAAUCCUUGUCACCCCGCUAACUUUCUUAUUUGAAUUUGAGAAACAGAACUGUGAAUGAUUUCAAUCACGCAGUCUAAUCAUGCUUAUGUUCUUGAUAUCUAUAUACAGUUCUGGUUUUGGUAUGAACAAAGUUUGACGAAAAUAUACAGCCUAAAGCUUCCUAUUGUUCUGAAUUAACGGACCAUGACUACCCAUCUAUUGAUUUUUUUUUUAUUACCAAUUUGCCUUAAUCUAUGUAGCCAUAUGGGUUUGGUUCUUAAAAUUAAAACAAUUAUUAUCCCCAUUCAAAUUCGUAUAAGCAAUCUAAAAUAAAAUUUGACAAAAAAAUAAAAAAUAAAAAAUAAAGCUUAAUAAAGUAAAAACAAUCAUCCUAAUUCUACAUGGUUUUAGUUGAUUUAUAAAUCUAGUGUUAGGGUAUUUGAUAUUUAAAAUUCUUUUCAAAAUCACGUGUUAUUCAUUUAAUAAUUUUAAAUACUAGUUAAAAUAAUGUGUUAUUCGUUUAAUGAUUUUUAUUUGGAUUUUAAAGUCCACAUUAGCUUUUAGCUGAAUUUGAAAGUGAAAAUUAGAAGAAACUUAAAUUUGUAGUUAAACAAUGUUAUCUAAAAUUCAUGUUUGAUUUCAAAAUCAAUGAAAAUUUCCGAGUCUUAUAUAGAUUUCAUUGAACCAAUGAAAACCUCUUAAAUGCCGUCAAAAGAAAAGUGGUUAAUCUAAUUCUCUUUUGUAAAAAUUAAUAAACUACCGGAUUACAACCAAACAAAUUUGAAUAAAAGAAUCCCAUUUUUAUGUGAAACAAAAAUUUAUGUAUCACAUUUUAUUACAUAAAGUCAAGCAUAUUUCAUACAAUUAUAAUAUACUUUUUCCGUUUCGUUUUAGUUGUCGUUUAGAGUUAAAGUUUUGUGUUAUAUUUACUUGCCGUUUGGUAUUUUCAAUGCAGAUUUAUGAUAAAUUUUUCAGUUUUAUCUCUACUUUUUAAGUUUAUUAAAUUACUUAUAUGAAACAAAAUAAUGUAUUAAUUAGAUGUAAAAUAAUAACUUUAAAUUUUUUUUUUUUUUGUGUGAAAUCAGUUAGAACGACAACUAAAACGAAACGGAAGGAGUAUAAAUUUAGCUCGGAAUUUUCACAUUAUUAAUUGAAAUACAUUAUAAUCGAUUUAAAAAAUUAAAAAGACACCCAAACACAGUACGUCUACAAAUUCCAACAAAAAAAAAAAAAUGAAGACGACAUUACAACAAUUAACACACAUAAUCCUUGGACCUGAGUCAUCUAUCUCAUAGUCAACACUCAACAUGUGAGUGCGUCUCUUUAUCCAAUUUAAUCCACAUUCUCUAUCACGUCUUGAAUAAACUUUUCCAAAGCCGUCUUCGAAGAUCCACCGUCCAUUAACGCCACGUGACACUUCUCCGCCAUCUCCUUCACUCUACUCCUUACAUCACUAUCCUGCUCCAUCACACGCCUGAUAGCUCUCUCUAUAUCCUCCGCCGUAACCGUCUCCAUUUCUCCGAUCAACAACAAAUCUCCUCUAAUGCACUUACGUAUCUCCACCGCCAACCCCAACUCCUCCACCAUCUCAAACGCGUUAACCUUCUGCUCCGCGUAAAGCGGCCACGUCACCAUCGGAACACCAAACCACAAGCUCUCUAGCAUCGAGUUCCAACCACAAUGAGUAACAAACCCUCCUAUCGCCGGUUUCUCUAGCACCGCCACCUGUGGUGCCCAUCCUAUCACUUUCCCUCUAUCCGACGUCCGCUCCAAGAACCCCUCCGGUAAAACCUCCUCAAGAUUCGUAUAAUCUCCGGGACGUUCCAUCAUUAUAUUCGGCGAUGCACGACGGAGAGACCAAAGAAACCGGUGACCACUUCGAUCUAACGCGACAGCUACCUCUCUAGUUUGCUCCUCAGUGAAACCUCCCAUACUUCCAAAGCAAAGAAACACAACAGAUUUCGGCGGUUGCUCAUCGAGCCACCGCAAAAUCUCCGAUUGUUUUUCACCGGUUUCGAGAUGCAACACUGGUCCAAUAGGAUAAGCUUGAGGAAGAUCAACAUUAUUGAACAUUUUCAAAGCGUGAGGUUCUAGCUCAGCAAAUGUAUUUACCAAAAUACCCUUCAUCUUCCGGAAAAAUCUAGCUUGAGCUACAAAGAAUGGUAACCACUCCUUUGAAGUGAGGAUAUGAGGAAGACAUUUCACUGGAUAAGGACGAGUCAAACACGGAAACUCCAAUUCGUUGACUGACUCAUCCAAAUCGCUGACGUCACAUUUCUUGUCGUCGUACAUUUGUUGAACGUGAAGUGUGAUUCCCAGAAACGUAGCGUUUGAUGUGUAGAUCAUAUAACACGGAACUCCGAAUUCGUUAGCUACAUCGAUCAUCGAGGAACAGAACAUGUCCACCACGAAUCCAGCGAGUUUUCGUGUUGGAUUGAUGAUUCUGGAGAUUGUGUCUCUCACUUUUGGUUUUUGUUUCUCGAUGUAGACUUGAGAAGGUUCUAGAUUGGCGGUUGGUGGUUCUUUUACGACGGAGAUGGGUUCGUAACGGAGACGAUCUUGAGACUCUGUCGUGAGGGAUGCGAUAUAGGCGGUUGCAUCACCGGCGUCGUUUCUGGAAGGGAUGAUGAUUACGGUGAUUGAGAGAUGGUCGUUGCUGCUGAUGAGUUGCUUUGCUAGCUUCACGGUUGGCCGGAGAUGGCCAAUUCCCGGCGAAGGUAUGAACACGAGCUCAAUCAUCUUCAUUUCUGUUUUUUUUUUUUUUGGGUUUUUGGACUUUCCGUGUUGGCUGGGUUUAGAAUUGGUAAAAGUAAAGGGAUUAUUUUAUAAAGUAAAUGAAGUUGUUUGUUGGGUCACGUAAGCUGGCCCAUUUAGCAUUGUUGGGCCAAGGAAAACCUAAAAUAUAGAUAUGGUAGCCGCCGAAGGAAACCCUAAUUUCUCACAGAAGAGUUUCUUUCUGUCUCUCUGUGUGUAUUUAUAUGGUUUCGUUUUCUACAAAUUCGUAGGAUCUUGCUCUCUUUUCAUGUCUGUUUGAUAUAAUUGGUUAUUUUAGGGAUAGGUAUGUGACUAUUUUCGUGUCUGUAUAUGAUAAAAUUGGUGAUUUUUAGGGUUUUUGUGUAAGAGAUUUGUGAUGUGUGGAAGGGGUUACUAUGGUGAUGAUACAAGUGUAUGUGGACUAGAGUUUCAGAUCUGGGAUUCUUCUCCCAGAAGUUGAAGAUUAACCCUUGGCUGUCUGAGUAUUAAUUACCCUUUCACACAAAAAUCUUAUCUUUUGUUUGAUUUGAUUGAUGUUUUUGUCCUUGUUUGGGGGAGAAGCUGAUGAUGAUAAAAGACAAUUAUCUUAGCGGAUUUCAGUGAGGUUUUUCAAUCAAUGAUCUGAAUUUGUUACACACACUGAAGCUUUUAUGUUUUUCUUACAAUGUUUAGUUUAGUUUUGUUGGAUUAUUAUUAUCUGGUUUGAUUGAUGUUUUUGUCCUUGUUUGGCUUAUAUAAGCUGAUGAUGAUAGAAAACAAUUAUCUUAGCGGAUUUCAGUGAGGUUCUUGAAUCAAUGAACUGAAUUUGUUACACACACUGAAGCUUUGUUCUUUCAAUGUUUUUUUAUUUAAUUUGUGAUUGAUGAUGCAAUGAUGAGAGAAAAGCACGAAGAGUGUGAGAAGAGCAGUGGUUAUACCGUGAGCUCUCCUAUUUAAACGACUUCUCCUUCCACUGAGCAUAUUGAAACAAAUUUUCCCCUAUUGAAGAAAUAUUUUUUUUAAGUGUUUUUAGGUUUUUGUAUUGGCGUCCAUUACCAAUUCUGAAGGAUAAACACAAUUCCUUCAGGUAUAAUGGCUUGUGACGCUAUAUUUGUUGUGGUAUAUCCUGAUCAUCUUGCUAUCUUCCCUGCCUUUUGAUCCUGGAAAUGCCUCGCACAUAAUAACAACUAUAGUAUGUGUAAUUUGUUGACUACGUAUUCAUUUCAUUUGACAUCUUUUGCUGCUUUUUCAGCUCUUAUAUUAGCUUUUUCAUCAACAGACGAUCGUUGCAUUGUUGUGAGUGCUACAAUGUCUAUGGAAUUCUUACAAGAUUGGUAAAGUUGCUGAGAUGCUAGAGACUAUGAGGGGCAUAUGGGGAUAUUACGGGGAAACAGCCACUUGUUUUUCCUCGUUAUUCAUUGAUUUUCGGAGUUGACACUUCUUUGCGAGCUUCAAAGUUGACACUUCUUUGAUUUUCGGAGAUUUUAGGACUUUAUGUAAACAGUUUCUAUGUUCAAAUGUUGUUUCCUUUGCUACUUUUGGAAAACAAGUUGACAACUAUGAACUGUUUUUGGACUUUUAAUGAAUUCAGGACUCCUAUGAAAGUGAUUAACAAAACAAUUGACUUAUCAGGAAACAAGUGUUUGGUCGAAUGAGUUGAUUUUUGGACAUUUAAUGAAAAUUAGGGACACAUGGAAGUGAC
rnacentral:lncRNA from 1 species